rnacentral:rRNA from 1 species
AGUGAACGCUGGCGGCAGGCCUAACACAUGCAAGUCGAACGGUAGCACAGAGGAGCUUGCUCCUUGGGUGACGAGUGGCCGACGGGUGAGGCAUAUACCGGAAUCUACCCAUUCGUGGGGGAUAACGUAGGUAAACUUACGCUAAUACCGCAAACGAACUGAGGUUGCAAGCAGGGGACCGCCAGGCCUAGCGCGACGCGAGUAGCCGAUGUCCGAUUAGGCAGUUGGUAAGGUAAAGGCUUAGCAAGGGGACGAUCGGUAGCUGGUCUGAGAGGAAGAUCAGCCACACUGGAACUGAGACACGGUCAAGACUCCUACGGGAGGCAGCAGUGGGGAAUAUUGGACAAUGGGCGCAAGCCUGAUCCAGCCAUGCCGCGUGUGUGAAGAAGGCCUUCGGGUUGUAAAGCACUUUUGUUGGGAAAGAAAAGCGGUCGGUUAAUGCCCGGUCGUACUGGCGGUACCCAAAGAAUAAGCGCCGGCUAACUUCGUGCCAGCAGCCGCCGUAA